rfam:Salmo salar isolate Sally breed double haploid chromosome ssa03, whole genome shotgun sequence.
AUUAGCUAACUUUGUAAGUCGCUCUGGAUAAGAGCGUCUGCUAAAUGACUUAAA